CAUGGUUUACAAACUGAAAAUAGAAUGAUUUGUGAAGUUGAACAUUUUCUCACAAAGAAUCCGUUUGUGGACAUGUACACUCAUUUAAUCUGCAGCUACGGAGUACUUUGUCACUUCUCUGGAACAUUAUUCUAAGCAGAAUUAUCCUUAUUCAUAUAUUCUAAGAAUCUUGUGUGAAUUGUUUACGAGGAAAUUCUGACUGUCACAUUAACAAGGAUGAUCACUCUUGACUCUGCUUCGGAUUCCCCAGUGAUAAUUGUAUCGAGUGAUGAAAGAGCUGACGGCGACAUUUUAAUGUAUGAUUGGCCUGGACCAUUGGAAUGAAGUCAUUUCAUGGUGCCACCACCUGGGAUGGUAUUAGCUUCAAAUAUAGACUUGUACUCAGCACUUAUUGCCUUUAAGAAGUAUGAGAUCCAUUUUGUGCUAACACCUACCGUGACACAGAAUCUUGGUUUAUGCAGUCUCAUAGGAGUAACCUGUCUAAAGCAUUUAGCAACGGGAUUGGAACCUGCGACGUUUGACUCAUCUGAAUACUGAAUUUUGAUACCAAGCAUGACCAUGAUUUGCCAGAAGAUCAUCUGUUUGGAUGUGACAUGGAAUAAACAGCAUAGUGAAAAUAAGUCAAUUUUUGGUUUGUGAAGACAACUUUUAAACACACUGUGUAUCAUUUUUAGUCCCCUACCGGUGAAACCGGAGGGGACUAUAGGUUUCCUCUGCGUCCGUCCGUCCGUCCGUCCGUCUGUCUGUCUGUCCGUCUGUCUGUCUGUCCCCGUCAGUCUGUCCCACUUGGUUUUCCGCACUUUUUUUCUAAAAGCUUGCAGAUAUUGAGCUGAAUUUUGGUACGUGAGUGUAUCUUAAUGAGUUACAGAUCAAGUUUGAAUUUCGUUUUGCUUCAUUAAUUUUUGACAGAAUUAUGGCAUUUUGAAUAUUUUUCAUUCCCACUUGGUUUUCCGCACUUUUUUUCUAAACGCUUGCAGAUGUUAAGCUGAAUUUUGGUAAGUGAGUGUAUCUUAAUGAGUUACAGAUCAAGUUUGAAUUUCGUUUCGCUCCAUUGAUUUCUGACAGAAUUAUGGCAUUUUGAAUAUUUUUCAUAAUCGCUUAAUUAAGAUCGGGUUCGAACUGCGCUAACUUCCGAUUGUCGACAAAAAUAUGAAGCGAGGAAAAGACGAUGGAUAAAUGAGUUGAAUUGUCGUCUUAAUGUUUAUUAUUUUAUUAGAUUUAAGGCAUUUACAACUUGAAAAUCUUUCAGUUUAACCUUGGACAUGACUUUUGCACAUUAAAAAAUGGCAUCCUGAAGAAAAAGGGGAACCCGGUAGGGGACAUGUAUUGCUUAUGCAAUACUCUCAGAAUGCUUGUUAAAUUUU